GCCUGCAUGAGUGCUGCUGGCACUGGGGAGCUACAGUUCAUUGAGGGAACCAUGAAUGCCAACAUCUACUGUGACAUACUGAAACAGAGCAUGAUCCCCUCCCUUCAGAGACUGGGCCGCAGGACAGUAUUCCAUCAAAACGACCCCAAACACCUCCACGAUGACCACUGCCUUGCUAAAGAAGCUAAAGGUAAAGGUGAUGGACUGGCCAAGCAUGUCUCCAAACCUAAACCCUAUUGAGCAUCUGUGGGGAAUCCUCAAAAGAAAGGUGGGGGAACGCAAGGUCUCUAACAUCCACCAGCUCUGUGAUGUCAUCGUGGAGGAGGACUCCAGUGACAACAUGUGAAGCUCUGGUGAACUCCAUGUCCAUGAGGGUUAAGGCAGUGCUGGAAAAUAAUGGUGGCCACACAAAAUAUUUACACUUUGG